CUAUGACAGCUGUCCAUUCAUCAAACAUGACCGGCUCAGACAGAUGGAGGACAAAUAAAAGUGACUUGUCUCUGUUGACUAUAGUCAGGAUGAAUGGUUUUAGCUUCAGGCCCUGUUGACUAUAGUCAGGAUGAAUGGUUUUAGCUUCAGGCCCUGUUGACUAUAGUCAGGAUGAAUGGUUUUAGCUUCAGGCCCUGUUGACUAUAGUCAGGAUGAAUGGUUUUAGCUUCAGGCCCUGUUGACUAUAGUCAGGAUGAAUGGUUUUAGCUUCAGGCCCUGUUGACUAUAGUCAGGAUGAAUGGUUUUAGCUUCAGGCCCUGUUGACUAUAGUCAGGAUGAAUGGUUUUAGCUUCAGGCCCUGUUGACUAUAGUCAGGAUGAAUGGUUUUAGCUUCAGGCCCUGUUGACUAUAGUCAGGAUGAAUGGUUUUAGCUUCAGGCCCUGUUGACUAUAGUCAGGAUGAAUGGUUUUAGCUUCAGGCCCUGUUGACUAUAGUCAGGAUGAAUGGUUUUAGCUUCAGGCCCUGUUGACUAUAGUCAGGAUGAAUGGUUUUAGCUUCAGGCCCUGUUGACUAUAGUCAGGAUGAAUGGUUUUAGCUUCAGGCCCUGUUGACUAUAUUCAGGAUGAAUGGUUUUAGCUUCAGGCCCUGUUGACUAUAGUCAGGAUGAAUGGUUUUAGCUUCAGGCCCUGUUGACUAUAGUCAGGAUGAAUGGUUUUAGCUUCAGGCCCUGUUGACUAUAGUCAGGAUGAAUGGUUUUAGCUUCAGGCCCUGUUGACUAUAGUCAGGAUGAAUGGUUUUAGCUUCAGGCCCUGUUGACUAUAGUCAGGAUGAAUGGUUUUAGCUUCAGGCCCUGUUGACUAUAGUCAGGAUGAAUGGUUUUAGCUUCAGGCCCUGUUGACUAUAGUCAGGAUGAAUGGUUUUAGCUUCAGGCCCUGUUGACUAUAGUCAGGAUGAAUGGUUUUAGCUUCAGGCCCUGUUGACUAUAGUCAGGAUGAAUGGUUUUAGCUUCAGGCCCUGUUGACUAUAGUCAGGAUGAAUGGUUUUAGCUUCAGGCCCUGUUGACUAUAGUCAGGAUGAAUGGUUUUAGCUUCAGGUCC